GUUGAGGGGAAUGUUGUCUGGUGCGAGAUCUUUCAUUUCUUUUGAAUUUUUGAAACCCUUAAUUCAAAUUACAACUCUUUACUUUUGAAUGAUUUCGGACCAGGCUUCAUUCCCCUCAAC
rfam:Cucumis sativus cultivar 9930 chromosome 6, whole genome shotgun sequence.